AUGAAUAAAGAUUCAUUAAAGCCCAAAAGCCCAAAAAUCCCUAAAUGGCCGGCCAUAUUAGAUGAAUUAGGGUUUUGGUUGUUUAGGUCACUUAAAGAAGUGACUAUAUAAAUGACUUUAUAGCCAAAUAUUCAUUAAGGAAAAAUUAAGGGUUUAUUUUGGGGGAAAAUUGGUGAGAAUUGUCUCUCCAUUUUCUCUCUAAAGAGGCCAACACCUUGGAGGGUACAUCUAGCAAUCCUACUACUCCAAGGUCACUCAUUUCUUCUACAAUCAAACCUUGGUGAAGAGACUUAGAGGUUCCCUAAUUUUGGGAACUUGGAGAAACCUAUUUUUCCAUCCAAAUCAUGGAUCUAAGAAGCAAGGAAUGAAGGCCCUAUCUCUUUGGGUGAUUAGCCUUUGCUUGUGCAAAGAGGAAUCUACAAAGAUCCUUUCCUCACAUCCUCAAGGAGCAAAGGAGCAUCAAAAGGAAGAAAAUCACAAGGAAGAUCCAAGGAGCUAGGAGGUGACUUGAAGGCCCUCCACUUGGGUGAAUCCCUUGUGUAAACAAGGAUGAGCUUCAAG
rnacentral:sRNA from 1 species